rnacentral:rRNA from 1 species
UAGGGAAUCUUCGGCAAUGGGGGCAACCCUGACCGAGCAACGCCGCGUGAGUGAAGAAGGUUUUCGGAUCGUAAAGCUCUGUUGUAAGAAAAGAACGUGUGUGAGAGUGGAAAGUUCACACAGUGACGGUAACUUACCAGAAAGGGACGGCUAACUACGUGCCAGCAGCCGCGGUAAUACGUAGGUCCCGAGCGUUGUCCGGAUUUAUUGGGCGUAAAGCGAGCGCAGGCGGUUUAAUAAGUCUGAAGUUAAAGGCAGUGGCUUAACCAUUGUUCGCUUUGGAAACUGUUAAACUUGAGUGCAGAAGGGGAGAGUGGAAUUCCAUGUGUAGCGGUGAAAUGCGUAGAUAUAUGGAGGAACACCGGUGGCGAAAGCGGCUCUCUGGUCUGUAACUGACGCUGAGGGUCGAAAGCGAGGGGAGCAAACAGG